rnacentral:rRNA from 1 species
AUUGAACGCUGGCGGCAUGCUUUACACAUGCAAGUCGAACGGCAGCGCGGGCUUCGGCCUGGCGGCGAGUGGCGAACGGGUGAGUAAUGCAUAGGAACGUGCCCAGUAGUGGGGGAUAGCCCGGCGAAAGCCGGAUUAAUACCGCAUACGACCUGAGGGUGAAAGCGGGGGACCGAAAGGCCUCGCGCUAUUGGAGCGGCCGAUGUCGGAUUAGCUAGUUGGUGGGGUAAAGGCUUACCAAGGCGACGAUCCGUAGCUGGUCUGAGAGGACGACCAGCCACACUGGGACUGAGACACGGCCCAGACUCCUACGGGAGGCAGCAGUGGGGAAUUUUGGACAAUGGGGGCAACCCUGAUCCAGCCAUGCCGCGUGCGGGAAGAAGGCCUUCGGGUUGUAAACCGCUUUUGUUCGGGAAGAAAUCCUCUGGGCUAAUACCCCGGGGGGAUGACGGUACCGGAAGAAUAAGCACCGGCUAACUACGUG